rnacentral:rRNA from 1 species
AAUGAUACCCAGGUAGUCCACGCCGUAAACGUUGGGCGCUAGGUGUGGGGCUCAUUCCACGAGUUCCGUGCCGCAGCUAACGCAUUAAGCGCCCCGCCUGGGGAGUACGGCCGCAAGGCUAAAACUCAAAGGAAUUGACGGGGGCCCGCACAAGCGGCGGAGCAUGCUGCUUAAUUCGAUGCAACGCGAAGAACCUUACCUAGGCUUGACAUGCACGGAAAUCUCGCAGAGAUGCGGGGUCCGUAAGGGCCGUGCACAGGUGGUGCAUGGUUGUCGUCAGCUCGUGUCGUGAGAUGUUGGGUUAAGUCCCGCAACGAGCGCAACCCUCGUUCUAUGUUGCCAGCACGUCAUGGUGGGGACUCAUAGGAGACUGCCGGGGUCAACUCGGAGGAAGGUGGGGAUGACGUCAAAUCAUCAUGCCCCUUAUGUCUAGGGCUGCAAACAUGCUACAAUGGCCGGUACAAAGGGCUGCGAUACCGUGAGGUGGAGCGAAUCCCAAAAAGCCGGUCUCAGUUCGGAGUU